rnacentral:rRNA from 1 species
CCUACGGGUGGCAGCAGGAGGGAAUAUUGCGCAAUGGGGGAAACCCGGAAGCAGCAACGCCGCGUGGAGGAGGAAGGUGUUCGGAUGGUAAACUCCGUUUGUUAGAGAAGAGAAUGACGGUAUCUAACGAAUAAGCACCGGCUAACUCCGUGCCAGCAGCCGCGGUAAUACGGAGGGUGCAAGCGUUACUCGGAAUCACUGGGCGUAAAGAGCGCGUAGGCGGGAUAGCAAGUCAGAUGUGAAAUCCUCUGGCUUAACCAUAGAACUGCAUUUGAAACUGUUAUUCUAGAGUAUGGGAGAGGUAGGUGGAAUUCUUGGUGUAGGGGUGAAAUCCGUAGAGAUCCGGAGGAAUAC